rnacentral:rRNA from 1 species
GACGAACGCUGGCGGCGUGCUUAACACAUGCAAGUCGAACGGAAAGGCCCUGCUUUUGUGGGGUGCUCGAGUGGCGAACGGGUGAGUAACACGUGAGUAACCUGCCCUUGACUUUGGGAUAACUUCAGGAAACUGGGGCUAAUACCGGAUAGGAGCUCCUGCUGCAUGGUGGGGGUUGGAAAGUUUCGGCGGUUUGGGAUGGACUCGCGGCUUAUCAGCUUGUUGGUGGGGUAGUGGCUUACCAAGGCUUUGACGGGUAGCCGGCCUAAGAGGGUGACCGGCCACAUUGGGACUGAGAUACGGCCCAGACUCCUACGGGAGGCAGCAGUGGGGAAUAUUGCACAAUGGGCGGAAGCCUGAUGCAGCAACGCCGCGUGCGGGAUGACGGCCUUCGGGUUGUAAACCGCUUUCGCCUGUGACGAAGCGUGAGUGACGGUAAUGUGUAAAGAAGCACCGGCUAACUACGUG